rnacentral:ncRNA from 2 species
AAAUAUAAUAUCAUUUCGAGUGUCCCUUUGGGCGUACGGCCUUUGGGGAAGGAUAGGGAAUCGUGUGCAAAUCACGGACGGUACCGCCGCUGUAUGCGCCGAGGCCGCGCUCGUCGACGAAAGUCGGUCACUGGGAAACUGGGAAGGCAGAGCGCGUGCCGCAGGAGGUCCUCUCCAUAAGCGCGAGUCAGAAGACCUGCUUGGAAGUAUUGCCCUAA